GGCGGCCGCCGCGAGUCCGCGUUCCGGGAACCCUCGAACCCCCCGGGGCACCCCGAGCCUCCCAGGGCACCCCGGCCCCGCCAGCACCAGCUCCGGGCCGCUCCCCCCGGGCACCCCUCCAGGAACCCCCGCCAGGCACAGCGGAGAAUCCCGGGAAAGCGCCGGGAAUGCCCCGGGCAGGGUAACUGGAAUGGAGGCGCCGUAGGGAGCUGGCUCCUAGGCAUGUCUGGGCAUCGCCACUCUGAGCUGAAUCAGACCUAUCUGAGCAUUCACCCUCCUGUCACAGCAGAAGCAAAGGAUGCAGCAAGGCUCAGAGGACUUGGGAUGUCAGGAUUCCCGGUAGCGUUUCCAGAUGAAGAAAGGAACACAUGCUGGCAAUAUCACCCACGCCAGUGCUGCUGUCGGAGCAGUCCUGGAUACUGAGGAACUCUUUCCGUCUUGGAACAGACAAUGAAGUUUCUGUAGGGGCUUUAAAUCACUUAAUGUUGAAAGGAAUUUCCCGACAGCUUCAUCAGUCACUGUGUAAGAUUGUUAGAGAUCUCCAUCAGCUAAUAAACUUGAUUUGGGGUUUGUUUUGCUGGCAUUUGCACAAACCCUCUGAGAACUAUAGUUACUGUAUUCCCCUACAGUAUCUGAAUUCUGAAUUGAAAUGCCAGUUCCCCUCUCCUCUGGGAGGCGAAAUAAACCUUUGCCGUAGAAUAUGAAUGUCAGUUGUUUUUCCCAGUAAGCUGGUGCAUUAUUAUUUGAAGAGAUAUAGUGUUUGACAAAACCAUUUAUUUUGUUUCAGAUAUUUUAUGGAGUAAUAAAACUUAUAUGCAUU